UGGACAGAUUAUUGUACUCGACUGUAUUCACAGCGUGAAAUAGGGGAUUACACUGUUUUUAAACGGAAAGUGAAUCAAUUAACAUAAUAGACUCCC
rnacentral:pre_miRNA from 1 species